rnacentral:rRNA from 1 species
UACGUAGGGUGCAAGCGUUGUCCGGAAUUAUUGGGCGUAAAGAGCUCGUAGGCGGUUUGUCGCGUCUGCUGUGAAAACCCGAGGCUCAACCUCGGGCCUGCAGUGGGUACGGGCAGACUAGAGUGCGGUAGGGGAGAUUGGAAUUCCUGGUGUAGCGGUGGAAUGCGCAGAUAUCAGGAGGAACACCAAUUGGCGAAGGCAGUUAACUAUUCGACUCCUGACGUUGAGGCACGAAAGCGUGGGGAGCAAGACGG